AACGAACGCUGGCGGCAUGCCUAACACAUGCAAGUCGAACGAGACCUUCGGGUCUAGUGGCGCACGGGUGCGUAACGCGUGGGAACCUGCCCUUAGGUUCGGAAUAACUCCCCGAAAGGGGUGCUAAUACCGGAUAAUGUCUUCGGACCAAAGAUUUAUCGCCUUUGGAUGGGCCCGCGUUGGAUUAGCUAGUUGGUAGGGUAAAAGCCUACCAAGGCGACGAUCCAUAGCUGGUCUGAGAGGCUGAUCAGCCACACUGGGACUGGGACACGGCCCAGACUCCUACGGGAGGCAGCAGUGGGGAAUAUUGGACAAUGGGCGAAAGCCUGAUCCAGCAAUGCCGCGUGAGUGAUGAAGGCCUUAGGGUUGUAAAGCUCUUUUACCCGGGAUGAUAAUGACAGUACCGGGAGAAUAAGCUCCGGCUAACUCCGUG
rnacentral:rRNA from 1 species